rnacentral:tRNA from 1 species
GCGGGAUUGGUAUAUCGGCUGUGCCCAGCCUUCCCAAGGCUGUGAGAGGGGUUCGACUCCCCUAUCCCGCUC